AGGACGAACGCUGGCGGCGUGCUUUACACAUGCAAGUCGAGCGGUAAGGCUCCUCCGGGAGUACACGAGCGGCGAACGGGUGAGUAACACGUGAGUAAUCUGCCCCUGACACCGGAAUAACCUCGGGAAACCGAGGCUAAUACCGGAUACGACCAUCGAAGGCAUCUUCUGAUGGUGGAAAGCUCCGGCGGUCAGGGAUGUGCUCGCGGCCUAUCAGCUUGUUGGUGGGGUAAUGGCCUACCAAGGCGACGACGGGUAGCCGGCCUGAGAGGGUGACCGGCCACACUGGGACUGAGACACGGCCCAGACUCCUACGGGAGGCAGCAGUGGGGGAAUAUUGGACAAUGGGCGAAAGCCUGAUCCAGCAACGCCGCGUGAUGGAUGACGGCCUUCGGGUUGUAACCUCUUUCAGCUCCGACGAAGCGAAGUGACGGUAGGAGCAGAAGAAGCACCGGCCAACUACGUGCCAGCAGCCGC
rnacentral:rRNA from 1 species